UUUUGACCUUGAACUUUUUGGUUGAAUGAGGCUAUAAGGUGUUCAAGAAAAAGUCAUACUUUUCUGCCCUCUGCGAAAUAUUUGGGUUCUGAACUCUCACGGGUACAAACUUGCUCUUUGACAGAGGAAGCUCUAGCCGGGAUUGCCAUUCUUAUACCAAGAGAACCGCAGGGGGACUUCCCUGGCUGUCAAGUGGUUGAAACUCCGAACUUCCACUAUAGGUGGCGUGAGUUCAAUCCCUGGUGGGGGAAUUAAGAUCCCACAUGCCAUGCAGCACAGUCAAUACAUACAUAAAUAAACUUCAGGGAUUCCUAUGGAUGGCCAGGUUCUGCCUCAUCUGGAUCCCCAAUUUUGGACUCACUGCAAAACCCUUUUAGGAAGCUCUUUUAAAGGAGGUUUCCCUGGUGGCUCAGAUGGUAAAGAAUCUGCCUGCAAUGCAGGAGACCCAGGUUCAACCCCUUUGUCAGGAAGAUCCCCUGGAGAAGGGAAUGGCAACCCACUCCAGAAAUCUUGCCUGGAGAAUCCCAUGGACAGAGGAGCCUGGUGGGCUACAGUCCAUUGGGUCACAAAGAGUUGGACAUGACUGAGUGACUAACAUUUUCACUUUAAAGGAGGAGACAUGAAUCUCUAGACUCAACUAGGGAAAUGCUAUAGUGCAUUCCAGGUUAUCAAAGAAAAAACUAACUGCCCUGGCUUUAGGUCCUCCAGAUAUCAGAAAGCCCUUUGACUUAUUUGUUCAUGAGAGACAAGGAAUCAGCCUUGGAGUCCUGACUUGGAACCUGGGUAGCAUAAGGAGCCUGCUGAGUAUUUCUUAAAGCAAUUAGAUACAGUUACUAACGGAUGGCCAGUUUGUCUUUGGGCUGUAGCAGUGACCUGUGAUCUUUUACCAGAAGUGGAGAAAUUUAUAUUAGGACAACCUGCCACAGUGCAUACCCCUCACUGUUUAUUUCUCCUCCUAGAACAGAGGGGCAGGAUAUUGGUUAACUUCAGGAAGAUAUGCAAAGUAUCAGGCUAUAUUAUUGGAUAAUCCUAAUGUUACUCUGAAAGCAGCCUCCAUCUUGCAUCCUGCCACUCUGCUCCCAAACAAUACUGAAGAGCUUAUGCAUGAUUGUAUUCAGAUAAUUGAACCAGUCUAUUCCAGCCAUCCCGACCUGAUGGACCAGCCACUGGAGAACCCAGACCUUGAGAUGUUCACAGACAGAGUCAGCUUUAUGGACCAGGAAGAAUGCAAAGCUGGGUAUGUGGUGGUAACUCACCAAAAUACCCUGGAAGCAGACGCCCUUCCCCCAGGAAUCUCUGCACAAAAGGGAGAACUAACAGCCCUGAUGAGAGCCCUCCAUCUAUGUAAGGAUAAGAGAGUAACUGUUUUCACUGAUUCUAAAGUAUGCUUUCUUGGUGGUCCAUGCUUAUAGGGCCAUUUGGAGAGAGGACUGUUAAUUGCAGGGAAUAAGGAACUUAACCCUGCUGAAGAAAUUUUAACCUUAUUAGAAACUGUCAUGGAGCCAAAAGAAUGAAUGUCCACUAUUCAGGACAUCAGAAAGCAGAUUGUGUGACUGCUGAAAGGAAUAAUCUAGCAGAUCAAACAGCAAAGCCAGCAGCCAGGAAUACCUAGGUCCCCAGAGUUGGCUCUGGUCGCCGAUGUAAAUCAGUUGCAGGGAAUUAAGCCAUGGAUCCAUCACACUGGAGUUAAGAUGGUCCCACAGAGAUCAAGGGAGCCACCACAUCCUGCGUACAGGAAUGCACUACGUUCUGACCAAUGGGAUGAGAGCGGAAGAGAUGUUUGCAACUUCUUCACUAUGUCUUUAAAGGAAGGAGAAGAGGGCGACAGAGGAUGAGAUGGUUGGAUGGUAUCACCGACUCAAUG